CCCCUAGUAACUGCGAGUGAAGCGGGAAAAGCUCAAAUUUGAAAUCUGGCGGUCAUGCCGUCCGAGUUGUAUUCUGGAGAAGUGCCUUCCGCGCCGGACCGUGUACAAGUCCCUUGGAACAGGGCGUCAUAGAGGGUGAGAAUCCCGUCUUUGACACGGACCGCCGGCGCUCUGCGAUGCGCUCUCGAAGAGUCGAGUUGUUUGGGAAUGCAGCUCAAAACGGGUGGUAAAUUCCAUCUAAAGCUAAAUAUUGGCGAGAGACCGAUAGCGAACAAGUACCGUGAGGGAAAGAUGAAAAGCACUUUGGAAAGAGAGUAAAACAGUACGUGAAAUUGUUGAAAGGGAAACGCUUGAAGUCAGUCGCGUCUGCCGGAACUCAGCCUUGCUUCUGCUUGGCGCACUUUCCGGUCCGACGGGCCAGCAUCGGUUUCGUGCGGCGGACAUGGGCGGGGGGAAGGUGGCGGCUCCGGCCGCGUUAUAGCCCUCCGUUGCAAACGUCGCUCGGGACCGAGGAAUCCGGCGCAAGCCUGGGAUGCUGGCGUAAUGGCUUUAAACGACCCGUCUUGAAACACGGACCAAGGAGUGCUACGUGCUCGCGAGUGUUUGGGUGGAAAACCCGGACGCGCAAUGAAAGUGAAAGUCGAUACCCCUUGCGGGGGCACCGACGCCCGAGCCCGAUGUUUUCGGAAGGCCUUGCGGUAGAGCGAGUGCGUUGCGACCCGAAAGAUGGUGAACUAUUCCUGAGGAGGGCGAAGCCAGAGGAAACUCUGGUGGAGGCUCGUAGCGGUUCUGACGUGCAAAUCGAUCGCAGGACUUGGG
rnacentral:rRNA from 1 species